rnacentral:rRNA from 1 species
GGUUAAGCGACUAAGCGUACACGGUGGAUGCCCUGGCAGUCAGAGGCGAUGAAGGACGUGCUAAUCUGCGAAAAGCGUCGGUAAGGUGAUAUGAACCGUUACAGCCGGCGAUGUCCGAAUGGGGAAACCCAGUGCAAUUCGUUGCACUAUCGUUAACUGAAUACAUAGGUUAACGAGGCGAACCGGGGGAACUGAAACAUCUAAGUACCCCGAGGAAAAGAAAUCAACCGAGAUUCCCCCAGUAGCGGCGAGCGAACGGGGAGCAGCCCGGAGUCUGAAUCAGCUUGUGUGUUAGUGG